GCAGGAUCUGGGUCCAGAUGCCGCCAGGCCCACCGGGGAGCCGUGCACGCGCCACCUGCCUCCUGUGUAUAGACAGCGCUUGGGUCUGUUCUGCUCUUUUCUACUAAACAAUGUACUUACUCCAUAUUCUUUACUGCUUUUGUGAAUGACUAGGAAAGUGUACAUUUUAUGUUCAGAGAAAUGCUAAACCCGCAUCUCAUCCGGCCCCUCCCUGUGCUCUCAUCACCUCCCCCUCCAGCACCUGAAAUGCCCCUCGGUCCCUCAGCAUCCCUUCCCCGGGGCUCCAUCUCCCAAGCAAGCUCCUCAGACUGAGGGUCUUCCUCACUCCCCCGUCUCCAAAUCCGUUCUGUUCUGUGUCUGAGGGCAACCUGGCUCUGGCUCUCCCUCCCCACCCCCAGCGACCUGCUUAGAGUUGACAGCACCGGCCGCCCACUGGAGCGUUUCUGACCCUUGGAACGUGGUGGAAAUGCUGCUCAGCCUGGGGCCUGCUUGUCC
rnacentral:lncRNA from 1 species